rnacentral:rRNA from 1 species
CUAGUUGCACGAGUUCAGACUCGUAGCAGAUAGCUCAGUAACACGUGGCCAAACUACCCUAUGGAUCCGGAUAACCUCGGGAAACUGAGGCUAAUCCGGAAUACGACUCUCAGCCUGGAACUGGCGAGAGUCAGAAACGCUCCGGCGCCAUAGGAUGUGGCUGCGGCCGAUUAGGUAGACGGUGGGGUAACGGCCCACCGUGCCCAUAAUCGGUACGGGUUGUGAGAGCAAGAGCCCGGAGACGGUAUCUGAGACAAGAUACCGGGCCCUACGGGGCGCAGCAGGCGCGAAACCUUUACACUGCACGAAAGUGCGAUAAGGGGACUCCAAGUGCGAGGGCAUAUAGUCCUCGCUUUUCACUACCGUAAGGUGGUAGUAGAAUAAGUGCUGGGCAAGACCGGUGCCAGCCGCCGCGGUAAUACCGGCAGCACGAGUGAUGACCGCUCUUAUUGGGCCUAAAGCGUCCGUAGCUGGCCACGCAAGUCUAUCGGGAAAUCCGCGCGCUCAACGCGCGGGCGUCCGGUGGAAACUGUGUGGCUUGGGACCGGAAGAUCUGAAGGGUACGUCCGGGGUAGGAGUGAAAUCCCGUAAUCCUGGACGGACCACCGGUGGCGAAAGCGCUCUGGAAAGACGGAUCCGACGGUGAGGGACGAAAGCUCGGGUCACGAACCGGAUUAGAUACCCGGGUAGUCCGAGCUGUAAACGAUGUCUGCUAGGUGUGCCACAGGCUACGAGCCUGUGGUGUGCCGUAGGGAAGCCGUGAAGCAGACCGCCUGGGAAGUACGUCCGCAAGGAUGAAAC